rnacentral:rRNA from 1 species
GACGAACGCUGGCGGCGUGCUUAACACAUGCAAGUCGAACGAUGAAGCCCAGCUUGCUGGGUGGAUUAGUGGCGAACGGGUGAGUAACACGUGAGUAACCUGCCCUUUCCCCUGGGAUAACUCCGGGAAACCGGUGCUAAUACUGGAUAUGAUUCCAACCUGCAUGGGUAUGGGGUGGAAAGAUUUAUCGGGAUGGGAUGGACUCGCGGCCUAUCAGCUUGUUGGUGGGGUAAUGGCCUACCAAGGCGACGACGGGUAGCCGGCCUGAGAGGGUGACCGGCCACACUGGGACUGUGACACGGCCCAG